rnacentral:misc_RNA from 1 species
GAUGAAGAACGUAGCGAAAUGCGAUAAGUAAUGCGAAUUGCAGAAUCCGUGAGUCAUCGAAUCUUUGAACGCACAUUGCGCCCCUUGGUUAUUCCGAAGGGCAUGCCUGUUCGAGCGUCAUUAUCACCCCUCAAGCCCUGGCUUGGUGUUGGACUUUAGUUAUGGCUUUGCCUAUCAACUGGUCUCAAAGAUAGUGACGGCGCCCCAGAGGAACCGGGUACGAGGAGCUUUUUACUAAGCAUGUAUCUGGGACGACUCUGAUGGGCGACGGUCUUGUUAUACUUUUUACCUAAGUGUUGACCUCGGAUCAGGUAGGAAUACCCGCUGAACUUAAGCAUAUCAAUAAGCGGAGGA